AACGCGAAGAACCUUACCUGCUCUUGACAUCCUCGGAAAGCUGUAGAGAUACGGUGGUGCCCGAAAGGGAACCGAGAGACAGGUGCUGCAUGGCUGUCGUCAGCUCGUGUCGUGAGAUGUUGGGUUAAGUCCCGUAACGAGCGCAACCCUUAUCCUUAAUUGCGACCAGGUCAAGCUGAGCACUUUAGGGAGACUGCCGGUGACAAGCCGGAGGAAGGCGGGGAUGACGUCAAGUCAUCAUGGCCCUUAUGAGCAGGGCUACACACGUGCUACAAUGGGGGUGGACAGAGGGCUGCCAACCUGAGAAGGGGAGCGAAACUCAGAAACCACCUCGUAGUCCGGAUUGGAGUCUGCAACUCGACUUCAUGAAGUUGGAAUCGCUAGUAAUCGCGGAUCAGAAUGCCGCGGUGAAUACGUUCCCGGGCCUUGUACACACCGAGUAUA
rnacentral:rRNA from 1 species